ACCCACAUAAAGUGGGUAUGCCACUUUAAGAGAAGAGGUUAAGGAAGCUGGGUGGUCUGCCUGGCCAAUGAGAAGUUUGGUUUCCAGAGCGUCUGGACCAAUCAGGGUGCAGGCUGCCGUUGUGGAUCCCGCCCUUCUCCCCCGGGUCUGCAGUACCGUUGGUUUUGCUCUAGAGAUCCGACGCGGUGAGACUGCUGAGCGGGGCAGCGCCAGAGUAUGUAUCCCGACAGUUAAAAGUAUUUUUUACGUGCUGUAUUAACUGUAUUGUGGAUAAACUCUUUUGUAAAUAGAUUUUAUGUUGAUUGUCCAGCUUUUGUGCUGGAAAUUAUUUAUUAAAUGAAUACAAACUGAACUUCAGUUUUUUACCGUUAGAGCCGUUAGGAAUCGUUGGCUCUUUCUGGCAGUUAUUUCAGCUUGUUCUUCGUAGAUAAAAGUGCCCCACGCAUCCGGAUUGAGACCCACUAUACGGUUGUCUGAAGUGUGUCGCACUGAGAUUGGUGAGCAUAUCCUGAACCUUUUAUUUGUGUUUUUGUCGUUUGUUACAUUGUUAAAAAAAUAUCCGUUGUUUUAGUAACUAGGUAAUGUUUUGUUACUGUGUUGGAAAGAAGGAUUAAAGCUAGAACGGCUUGGUAAAGUCCUGUAUUUCUGCUGGUCCUGUCUGUUGACAGGUCAGGUUUUUUUUUAUACUGGAUCAUUCCUGAAGUGGAUCCCUCCUUUGAUAUUGAUGGCGAGCCUUCCCACCUGGACCUAAAGAGAGAACCAGAUUUCGUCUAUCCCAUUUGGAGUCAUGCUGCACCCUGCGGUGUGGUAGGAGAGCAACAUACAUCUUCACACACGGUUAUGUGUGAAACCUACAGCUGACAUUCUCCAUUAUUAUUGUUUUUUUUUUAUUUAUUGAUUUUUGGACAAUACUGUUUGGAUUGUUUUAUUUCGGACAUUGUGACGCACAGCUGUGGUGGAAAUUCUCCUGUGAAUGAAGUUGAAUCAAACCAAAUUGGGAUUAAUUUGAUUAAUCUGCUGACUAAUACAAUUUGGAGUGCAGAUUACCAGGGUGCACCCGAAUUAUUUGAAAUUAAGAAUUAGCACUUGGCCAAGUAUUAUUGUUAUUUCUUUUUUUUUUUUCAUUUUAUUGUGUGUAAUUUUAUUUUCAUAAUUGUGUGUUUUGUGCAACUGUUAAUUGUGUGUUUUCUGUCACUAAAACCAGUUCUUUAAAUACACCCAACUGCCCUUGUGUGUCAUUUAAACACUCCACUGUGCUCCGAUAGCCGAACCUAUUGGCCCAUUUAUCCAAAAUAUAUGUAAUACCCUUCUCUACUGUGUUACAGAGGAAGCUAUGGCGAGCCAGCCAGGAGCAUGAGUGUGUGUGUUUAAGUGUCAGACAUCUUACACAUAUUGUUAGAACGUGCCAAGUACUUCUCCUUAAAAACAAAAAAAAAAUAAAAAACCAAAUAUGGAUGUGGUACUCCGGGAGUCCAUCCAAAUUCCCCAUUCUGUGGUUGUUAGUGGUUUAACAGGGUCAGAGACAGAUGAGGAAGUGUCAACCUUUCUCCAGAAGUAUGGUUCCAUUAACCGUUACAUUUGCUUAGAUGAUCCUAAGUCAGAUUACCAUAAAAACAUGAUCGUUGAGUUUGCACAUGAAACUGCCAUGCAGACAUUGGAACCAUUGUUGCCUCUUCAGUUUCCAAGCAUGACUCAAGCAGGCAUUGUGUAUGAGUUAAAGGCUUUAGGAAGUGUCUACACCAUAGAUGCCAGAAG